rnacentral:rRNA from 1 species
UACAGAGGGGGCAAGCGUUGUUCGGAAUUACUGGGCGUAAAGGGCGCGUAGGCGGCCUGUUAAGUCGAACGUGAAAUCCCCAGGCUCAACCUGGGAACUGCGUCUGAUACUGGAUGGCUUGAAUCCGGGAGAGGGAUGCAGAAUUCCAGGUGUAGCGGUGAAAUGCGUAGAUAUCUGGAGGAACACCUGAGGCGAAGGCGGGCUACUGGGCCGAUACUGACGCUGAUGCGCGAAAGCCAGGGGAGCAAACGGG